UACGUAGGUGGCAAGCGUUGUCCGGAUUUACUGGGCGUAAAGAGCGCGCAGGCGGUUGAUUAAGUCGAAUGUGAAAGCCCCCGGCUCAACUGGGGAGGGUCAUUCGAUACUGAUCAACUUGAAGGCAGGAGAGGGUAGUGGAAUUCCCGGUGUAGUGGUGAAAUGCGUAGAUAUCGUAAGGAAGACCAGUGGCGAAGGCGGGUCUCUGGACAGUUCCUGACGCUGAGGCACGAAGGCCAGGGGAGCAAACGGG
rnacentral:rRNA from 1 species